GGAAAAAGAGAGGUGUAUUCCAGCAUUGCAGCUUUUCAGCAGGAGGCACUACCAUAGCUGCUGGAAGAUUUACAGCAGAAAAUGGAGCUGUCAAGAGAACCAAGUGCAGAGAACCCAGCAAUUUCAUGAACUUGCUUGAAGAGAAUGGAGUUGAUCUCAAAGAAGUUGAGGCCUCUCAGAUUCGCUUUCACAGAACCUUAGUCCUUACUGCUGAAUUCAAGGGUUCAGUUACUCCAGAAGUGGAUUCCCCUCCAAACAUGAUAGAAGGUGAUGAAGGCGAGAAUGUUCCUGCAAAACUAGCCAAGCCAACAUACAAAUAACCUUGUCAGGUGGUCCUCAAAGCCCCAGGUCCACCGACGCCUCGCAAAAGGCAAUUCCUGAGAGGAUGAAAUCCAAGGUCGAGUCCAAGUCCUAUCAACUUGGCCAUAGGCUGUGCCUGAAAUGGAGCACUGGGGCUGGUCCAAGAAUUGGAUGUGUCAAUGGCUACCCAAUGGAGCUCAGAAUGCAGGCUCUGGAAAUGGUGGAUCAGUCACCAAGGGCGUCAACACCAUCGGCUUCAAGGAGGCUACUUUCAUGCUUGUCCCUGACAAAAGCCACCUCACCAACAUUGCCACUCGCAGCAAUGCAGAACUUCCUGCUCCAGCCAAGUUAGAAACUUAGAGGAGCUUAUGCCAAGCAACUAGCAUGAAGCCAUGCGUUCAGCUGUAGCUCUAAUGUAAUUCUUCCUUUGUCGUUUUUCUACACUGCAAAGCUCAGAUCCUUGGUUUGUUCGUGAUACAGCUCCCCUGUUCUGUGGUUAUAGUCAGAUGUACUACACUGCAAAGAUUUCGAGUGUACCUAGUUGGAACUGUAACUAUUGCAGAAAUAGAUUAUGUGCAGAAUCUCUUAUAUAUCACAGCCCAAAUAGC